GUAGGGAAUCUUGCGCAAUGGGCGAAAGCCUGACGCAGCCAUGCCGCGUGAAUGAUGAAGGUCUUAGGAUUGUAAAAUUCUUUCACCGGGGACGAUAAUGACGGUCCCCGGAGAAGAAGCCCCGGCUAACUUCGUGCCAGCAGCCGCGGUAAUACGAAGGGGGCUAGCGUUGCUCGGAAUUACUGGGCGUAAAGGGAGCGUAGGCGGAUAGUUUAGUCAGAGGUGAAAGCCCAGGGCUCAACCUUGGAAUUGCCGUUGAUACUGGCUAUCAUGAGUAUGAAAGAGGUAUGUGGAACUCCGAGUGUAGAGGUGAAAUUCGUAGAUAUUCGGAAGAACACCAGGGGCGAAGGGGACAUACUGGUCCAUUACUGACGCUGAGGCUCGAAAGCGUGGGGAGCAAACAGGAUUAGAUACCCUUGUAGGCC
rnacentral:rRNA from 1 species